AUGAACGCUAGCUACAGGCUUAACACAUGCAAGUCGAGGGGCAGCAUGGUCUUAGCUUGCUAAGGCCGAUGGCGACCGGCGCACGGGUGAGUAACACGUAUCCAACCUGCCGUCUACUCUUGGACAGCCUUCUGAAAGGAAGAUUAAUACAAGAUGGCAUCAUGAGUCCGCAUGUUCACAUGAUUAAAGGUAUUCCGGUAGACGAUGGGGAUGCGUUCCAUUAGAUAGUAGGCGGGGUAACGGCCCACCUAGUCUUCGAUGGAUAGGGGUUCUGAGAGGAAGGUCCCCCACAUUGGAACUGAGACACGGUCCAAACUCCUACGGGAGGCAGCAGUGAGGAAUAUUGGUCAAUGGGCGAGAGCCUGAACCAGCCAAGUAGCGUGAAGGAUGACUGCCCUAUGGGUUGUAAACUUCUUUUAUAAAGGAAUAAAGUCGGGUAUGGAUACCCGUUUGCAUGUACUUUAUGAAUAAGGAUCGGCUAACUCCGUGCCAGCAGCCGCGGUAAUACGGAGGAUCCGAGCGUUAUCCGGAUUUAUUGGGUUUAAAGGGAGCGUAGAUGGAUGUUUAAGUCAGUUGUGAAAGUUUGCGGCUCAACCGUAAAAUUGCAGUUGAUACUGGAUAUCUUGAGUGCAGUUGAGGCAGGCGGAAUUCGUGGUGUAGCGGUGAAAUGCUUAGAUAUCACGAAGAACUCCGAUUGCGAAGGCAGCCUGCUAAGCUGCAACUGACAUUGAGGCUCGAAAGUGUGGGUAUCAAACAGGAUUAGAUACCCUGGUAGUCCACACGGUAAACGAUGAAUACUCGCUGUUUGCGAUAUACUGCAAGCGGCCAAGCGAAAGCGUUAAGUAUUCCACCUGGGGAGUACGCCGGCAACGGUGAAACUCAAAGGAAUUGACGGGGGCCCGCACAAGCGGAGGAACAUGUGGUUUAAUUCGAUGAUACGCGAGGAACCUUACCCGGGCUUAAAUUGCAGAUGAAUUACGGUGAAAGCCGUAAGCCGCAAGGCAUCUGUGAAGGUGCUGCAUGGUUGUCGUCAGCUCGUGCCGUGAGGUGUCGGCUUAAGUGCCAUAACGAGCACAACCCUUGUUGUCAGUUACUAACAGGUUCCGCUGAGGACUCUGACAAGACUGCCAUCGUAAGAUGUGAGGAAGGUGGGGAUGACGUCAAAUCAGCACGGCCCUUACGUCCGGGGCUACACACGUGUUACAAUGGGGGGUACAGAGGGCCGCUACCACGCGAGUGGAUGCCAAUCCCAAAAACCUCUCUCAGUUCGGACUGGAGUCUGCAACCCGACUCCACGAAGCUGGAUUCGCUAGUAAUCGCGCAUCAGCCAUGGCGCGGUGAAUACGUUCCCGGGCCUUGUACACACCGCCCGUCAAGCCAUGGGAGCCGGGGGUACCUGAAGUGCGUAACCGCGAGGAGCGCCCUAGGGUAAAACUGGUGACUGGGGCU
rnacentral:rRNA from 1 species